rnacentral:rRNA from 1 species
GACGAACGCUGGCGGCGUGCUUAACACAUGCAAGUCGAACGGAAAGGCCCUGCUUUUGUGGGGUGCUCGAGUGGCGAACGGGUGAGUAACACGUGAGUAACCUGCCCUUGACUUUGGGAUAACUUCAGGAAACUGGGGCUAAUACCGGAUAGGAGCUCCUGCUGCAUGGUGGGGGUUGGAAAGUUUCGGCGGUUGGGGAUGGACUCGCGGCUUAUCAGCUUGUUGGUGGGGUAGUGGCUUACCAAGGCUUUGACGGGUAGCCGGCCUGAGAGGGUGACCGGCCACAUUGGGACUGCGGUACGGCCCAGACUCCUACGGGAGGCAGCAGUGGGGAAUAUUGCACAAUGGGCGGAAGCCUGAUGCAGCAGCGCCGCGUGCGGGAUGACGGCCUUCGGGUUGUAAACCGCUUUCGCCUGUGACGAAGCGUGAGUGACGGUAAUGGGUAAAGAAGCACCGGCUAACUACGUG